rnacentral:rRNA from 1 species
UACAGAGGUCUCAAGCGUUGUUCGGAUUCAUUGGGCGUAAAGGGUGCGUAGGCGGCGCGGUAAGUCGGGUGUGAAAUCUCGGGGCUUAACUCCGAAACUGCAUUCGAUACUGCCGUGCUUGAGGACUGGAGAGGAGACUGGAAUUUACGGUGUAGCGGUGAAAUGCGUAGAUAUCGUAAGGAAGACUAGUGGCGAAGGCGGGUCUCUGGACAGUUCCUGACGCUGAGGCACGAAGGCCAGGGGAGCAAACGGG